rnacentral:lncRNA from 1 species
UGUCCCUUCCCAUACUGUACUAACGACAAGUCGCUCGGAAUUUCCACAACUUGAUUCAACUAAAGUGGGCAGAGGCUAUGAGGACCAGGUAAACACUACUGAUCUAAAUAAAAUCUCUUUCAUGGCUUCAGUUACAAGUGCUCCGAUGCUCUAUCAUUGUUUAGUUAGCUGUAUUAUGAGAGUCGGUAUGGCACUAAUCGAUUCUGGGCUUGUUCUUAUUUUAAUAAUAUACACUGCAUCAGUUGCUCAGCAGCUCAGGCCAAGAAAGUACCCAUAUUACAAAUGCAGGCUGCUGGGUUAUGAAAAGUAUAAUUCUCAAUGUGACAUGUAACCAUUCUAUAACUUCGGGCAGAAUAGUUACAUCAACCAUGAUUACAUAAACUUGAAUACUUGAUGAUAAUUUUUGUUACCUUAAUGUUCUUAAGUGUGCAUACACUAUAAAAAAAUUAUACACAUCACUCUAACUCAGCAAUUGGUUCCAGUUGAAGGUUUAAUCUUCUGGCAGGUGUGCUUGCACUUGUUCCUGCAGGACCUUGAGAGGCAAAAGGAUUUGGAGGCAUAGUCAAGUUUUCUCCUCCUUCCAACAUCUGAACCACCCCUUU